rnacentral:rRNA from 1 species
UCUGUAGGUGGCCAACUAAGUCAGACGUGAAAUCCCUCAGCUUAACUGGGGAACUGCGUCUGAGACUGGAUGGCUUGAGUGCAGGAGAGGAACGCGGAAUUCCAGGUGUAGCGGUGAAAUGCGUAGAUAUCUGGAGGAACACCGGUGGCGAAGGCGGCGUUCUGGACUGCAACUGACACUGAGAGACGAAAAGCCAGGGGAGCAAACG